rnacentral:rRNA from 1 species
CCCUUAGAUGUUCUGGGCUGCACACGCGCUACACUGAAGGGAUCAGCGUGUUCUUUUCCUGGUCCGAAAGGGUCGGGUAACCCGCUGAACCCCCUUCGUGGUAGGGAUCGGAGCUUGCAAUUAUUCUCCGUGAACCAGGAAUUCCCAGUAAGCGCAAGUCAUAAGCUUGCGUUGAUUACGUCCCUGCCCUUUGUACACACCGCCCGUCGCUACUACCGAUUGGACGUUUUAGUGAGGAUUUUGGACUGAGCCAAUGGUGGUUCACACCACUGUUGUGCAUGGAAAGAUCUCCAAACUUGAGCGUUUAGAGGAAGUAAAAGUCGUANCA